GAUGAACGCUAGCGACAGGCCUAACACAUGCAAGUCGAGGGGCAGCACAUGAGUAGCAAUACGAUGGUGGCGACCGGCGCACGGGUGAGUAACACGUAUGCAACCUGCCUUCUACUAUGGGAUAACCCGUUGAAAGACGGACUAAUACCGUAUAAUACAGGGGCUCCGCAUGGAGAUAUUUGUUAAAGAUUUAUUGGUAGAAGAUGGGCAUGCGUAUGAUUAGAUAGUUGGUGAGGUAACGGCUAACCAAGUCAACGAUCAUUAGGGGUUCUGACAGGAAGGUCCCCCACACCGGUAAUGAGACACGGACCAGACUCCUACGGGAGGCAGCAGUGAGGAAUAUUGGUCAAUGGACGAGAGUCUGAACCAGCCAAGUCGCGUGAAGGAAGACGGUUCUAUGAAUUGUAAACUUCUUUUGUGCAGAAAUAAAGUGGGUUACGUGUAACCUUUUGUAUGUACUGUACGAAUAAGGAUCGGCUAACUCCGUGCCAGCCGCCGCGGUAA
rnacentral:rRNA from 1 species